UGCAAGUCGAGCGAGAAAGCUCUUCGGAGUGAGUACAGCGGCGAACGGGUGAGUAACACGUGGGCAACCUGCCCUUGGGAGCGGGACAACCCGGGGAAACUCGGGCUAAUACCGCAUGUCCCCCUUGGUCAUAAGACUUUGGGGAAAAGGUAGCUUCGGCCUCCGCCCUUGGAUGGGCCCGCGUCGCAUUAGCUUGUUGGUGGGGUAACGGCCUACCAAGGCAACGAUGCGUAGCUGGUCUGAGAGGACGAUCAGCCACACUGGGACUGAGACACGGCCCAGACUCCUACGGGAGGCAGCAGUGGGGAAUCUUGCGCAAUGGGCGAAAGCCUGACGCAGCAACGCCGCGUGCGGGAAGACGGCCUUAGGGUUGUAAACCGCUUUCAGGGGGGACGAAGCUUCCGAGGUUAAUAGCCUACGGGGUGACGGUACCCCCAGAAGAAGCCCCGGCUAACUACGUGCCAGCAGCCGCGGUAAUACGUAGGGGGCGAGCGUUGUCCGGAAUCAUUGGGCGUAAAGCGCGUGUAGGCGGCUUGGCAAGUCUGGUGUGAAAUCUUGGGGCUCAACCCCAAGCGUGCACUGGAAACUGCCUCGCUAGAGUCCGGGAGAGGAGAGCGGAACUCCCAGUGUAGCGGUGAAAUGCGCAGAUAUUGGGAAGAACACCGACGGCGAAGGCAGCUCUCUGGAACGGUACUGACGCUGAGACGCGAA
rnacentral:rRNA from 1 species